rnacentral:rRNA from 1 species
GACGAACGCUGGCGGCGUGCUUAACACAUGCAAGUCGAACGAUGAUGCUGGAGCUUGCUCCAGUUGAUUAGUGGCGAACGGGUGAGUAACACGCGAGCAAUCUGCCCUUGACUCUGGGAUAGCUGCGGGAAACUGUAGCUAAUACCGGAUACUUUCACCGGAAGGCAUCUUCUGGUGAUGAAAGAAUUUCGGUCAGGGAUGAGCUCGCGGCCUAUCAGCUUGUUGGUGAGGUAACGGCUCACCAAGGCGACGACGGGUAACCGGCCUGAGAGGGUGACCGGUCACACUGGGACUGAGACACGGCCCAGACUCCUACGGGAGGCAGCAGUGGGGAAUAUUGCGCAAUGGGCGCAAGCCUGAUGCAGCAACGCCGCGUGAGGGAUGAAGGCCUUCGGGUUGUAAACCUCUUUUAGCAGGGAAGAAGCGAAAGUGACGGUACCUGCAGAAAAAGCACCGGCUAACUACGUGCCAGCCGCCGCGGUAA